CUCGUAGGCGGCCAACUGAGUCAGACGUGAAAUCCCUCAGCUUAACUGGGGAACUGCGUCUGAUACUGGAUGGCUUGGAUUCGGGAGAGGAAUGCGGAAUUCCAGGUGUAGCGGUGAAAUGCGUAGAUAUCUGGAGGAACACCGGUGGCGAAGGCGGCAUUCUGGACCGAUAUUGACGCUGAGGAGCGAAAAGCCAGGGGAGCAAACG
rnacentral:rRNA from 1 species